AUUGAACGCUGGCGGCAGGCCUAACACAUGCAAGUCGAACGGUAACAGGAAGACGCUUUCUUCUUUGCUGACGAGUGGCGGACGGGUGAGUAAUGUCUGGGAAACUGCCUGAUGGAGGGGGAUAACUACUGGAAACGGUAGCUAAUACCGCAUAACGUCGCAAGACCAAAGAGGGGGACCUUCGGGCCUCUUGCCAUCGGAUGUGCCCAGAUGGGAUUAGCUAGAAGGUGGGGUAACGGCUCACCUAGGCGACGCUCCCUAGCUGGUCUGAGAGGAUGACCAGCCACACUGGAACUGAGACACGGUCCAGACUCCUACGGGAGGCAGCAGUGGGGAAUAUUGCACAAUGGGCGCAAGCCUGAUGCAGUCAUGCCGCGUGUAUGAAGAAGGCCUUCGGGUUGUAAAGUACUUUCAGCGGGGAGGAAGGGAGUAAAGUUAAUACCUUUACUCAUUGACGUUACCCGCAGAAGAAGCACCGGCUAACUCCGUG
rnacentral:rRNA from 1 species